rnacentral:rRNA from 1 species
UGCCAGCCGCCGCGGUAAUACGGAGGGAGCGAGCGUUAAUCGGAAUUACUGGGCAUAAAGCGCGCGUAGGUUGAUUGGUCAGUCAGAUGUGAAAGCCCUGGGCUCAACCUGGGAACUGCAUCUGAUACUGCUUGGCUAGAGUAUGGUAGAGGGGUGUGGAAUUUCCUGUGUAGCGGUGAAAUGCGUAGAUAUAGGAAGGAACACCAGUGGCGAAGGCGGCUAACUGGCUCGGUACUGACGCUGAGAUGCGAAAGCGUGGGGAGCGAACAGGAUUAGAUA